UUGGUUCUCAUGGCCUUGGCCUCUUUCAGUCUUGUGAGGUGCAACAGCAUCCUACCCAUCUGCUACAGUCCAGUAUGGCCAACAGCACAGGACUGAGGCUGAUGUGCAGCUCAAGAGAGAAUGAAGAUUCAAUCUACAGGCUGAAUUCUCAGAAGCAGUGAGUCCCGGCACCAGGAAGGCAGUGCUGGGGCAAGAGUGUGCGGUCCCUCCUCUGCACCCCCACGGAGCCCUCAGCUGCCACAAGUACAGACUUGCCACGCUGCGUCGUCAUCAUGAAUCCUACUCCCCCACCCGGCCGCGCUGCUGGAGAGCAGACACCAGACUGGGCGCCUCUGUGCAGAGUUGGCCACCGUCAGUUC